CCUACGGGUGGCUGCAGUGAGGAAUAUUGGUCAAUGGGCGGGAGCCUGAACCAGCCAAGUCGCGUGAGGGAAGACGGUCCUACGGAUUGUAAACCUCUUUUGCCGGGGAGCAACGGGGUCCUUGCGAGGGCCCGAUGAGAGUACCCGGAGAAAAAGCAUCGGCUAACUCCGUGCCAGCAGCCGCGGUAAUACGGAGGAUGCGAGCGUUAUCCGGAUUUAUUGGGUUUAAAGGGUGCGUAGGUUGUUUUUUAAGUCAGCGGUGAAAGUUUGUGGCUCAACCAUAAAAUUGCCGUUGAAACUGGAAGACUUGAGUGUGUUUGAGGUAGGCGGAAUGCGUGGUGUAGCGGUGAAAUGCAUAGAUAUCACGCAGAACUCCGAUUGCGAAGGCAGCUUACUAAGCCAUAACUGACACUGAAGCACGAAAGCGUGGGGAUCAAACAGGAUUAGAUACCCUAGUAGUC
rnacentral:rRNA from 1 species